rnacentral:rRNA from 1 species
AUGGCGUCGCUGCCGUCGGGCUGGUCAAGCCGACCAAUGGUUUCCCUCAGUCCCAAGCCUCACCACCGAGCACACAUCAGCUCCAGAUCCGGCGCACGCGAGACACUAGCAGCUGGAGACGGCGGUGUAGAGGGAGUAAAAGAGGAGGGAGCCAGAUCUCAUAUCCGGUCCAGCACACCGUCGCCGUCGGCCGGGAGAGGUAGCUACUCCGUCUCCUCCCCCCUCUUCCUUCCCCUACCUCCCUCGUUCCUGCCUAGGCCCAGCGAGCCCCUGCUGCUUUUGAGGAAAUGUCGUUCAGAUGGAUUACUACGCAUGAGUGCUACAUCUAGCAUCCAAUUUCCCCAUGUUCUCCGGGCAACAUCGACGCUGGACCAGAUGGACGAGCUGCAGUGCCAAACUGGGAGAGGAAUAGACGCUCCAGCAGCAGUGCUGACGAACCCCUUUCCUGCUCCCCCCUUUCCGGCGAUUGAAGAUGAGGCGCAGGUGGGCGCCGAGGGGGAGAGCCAGCAGCCGGCGCUGGAGUAUGAGGAGAGGAUCCACAAGUUCCUCGGCGUGAUGGUUGACGGGGAGAGACGACACUGCCGGUUUGCUGAAGUGGUAGGUUGCCAUUCAGGCACUCAGGAAGGUGCCAAGGAGAUGUUGGACCAAGGCAUGGAGGCACUACGAGCUGAAGAGCACAUAGCUGCAGAUGCUGGAGGCCGGCCCGGUGAGCCGAGGAUUGGAGCUGGGAGUAAGUGA